rnacentral:tRNA from 1 species
UAGCUCAGUCAGUAGAGCCUGAGACUCUUAAUCUCAGAGUCAUGGGUUAAAGCCCCAC